GAGAUUAUAUCUUAAUUGGAUAGAGUAUAGACUUGUCACGUCUAAAGAUACGGGUUCAAAUCCCGUUAAUCUCG
rnacentral:tRNA from 1 species